rnacentral:rRNA from 1 species
GUAGGUGAACCUGCGGUAGGAUCAUUGUUGGUUCCGAGCCACGAACUGUGUAGGGGAGGAGGCGCGCUCGACAUGGUCGGGACUCGUAGCCUCCCCGACCCCCGCUCUCGUCGGCGUGUGGACUGGAGGGCCUGUUGACUUGUCGUGCAUCUAUCUCGCGAUUCUCUCCGGAUGGAUGUCGCGGCGGGCCUCGCGCCUCCGUAAGUCAUUCGCUUGCGGUUCGGGGUACGAUUCAAGGGCGUGACGGAGUGUGCCGCUGCACUCCUCAACAGCGCCCGCGGCGGCCGGUGGACUCCUCGGGGAGUCCGCGAGGCACAGCUGCAACCCCCCGUUGCGUCGACGAAGGGAGCAAUGUCGUGUAAAGGUGUUGUUGGUGGUGCGGACGGGCGCACUCGCGCAAGCCGCGGGGCAGGACCUCUCGUCGCCGUCCCCCUUCCCUCUUUGACGGCAUGUGUCCUUCCGAUGUUGCGGGGCGGGGACAUCUCCCGUCUCACGUGCCACCCAUGAGGCAUCGCCUCUGGACCCCGGUGGCAAUUGCGGGACGGGCAGUGUGUCACAAACACUUAACACUGCGGUGCAGUUCGCACCAAGGAUUGAAAGAUAGCCGCGCGAGCCGCACGCCGUGUGCGUGCGGGAUUGCCGGCGCCAUGAGAACACGACUCUCGGCAACGGAUAUCUCGGCUCUCGCCACGAUGAAGAAUGUAGCGAAAUGCGAUACUUAGUGUGAAUUGCAGAAUCCCGUGAAUCAUCGAGUCUUUGAACGCAAGUUGCGCCCGAGGCUUCGGCCGAGGGCACGUCUGCUUGGGCGUCGCACUUCUAAAUCGCCCUCCCCCUGCGGCCUUGGGCGGGAGGAGCGGAUAUGGCCGUCCGUCCCCCAACAGCGGUGCGGUCGGCUUAAACAGGCACGGGGUCCGUCGCCCAUGUCACGACGAGCGGUGGCCCAAGCGGGUCGGCGUUAGUUUGUGCGGGGCGGGUGCGGCUAUGUGCGGAACUUUAUCUGGGAGCGGGCGGCUUUGCAUGCGUGCGGGUCAGCCUGUUUGCCUUCCGCGUCCCC